rnacentral:rRNA from 1 species
UACGAAGGGGGCUAGCGUUGUUCGGAAUUACUGGGCGUAAAGCGCACGUAGGCGGAUACUUAAGUCAGGGGUGAAAUCCCGGGGCUCAACCCCGGAACUGCCUUUGAUACUGGGUAUCUCGAGUCCGGAAGAGGUGAGUGGAAUUCCGAGUGUAGAGGUGAAAUGCGUAGAGAUGUGGAGGAACACCAGUGGCGAAGGCGGCUCUCUAGUACGGUACUGACGCUGAGGCGCGAAAGCGUGGGGAGCGAACAGG